CCGCCCCUCCAGCAUGCGCAUGAGCUCUUGCAACACUACCUGAUCUGCUAUCUGCACUGAUCAGGCCAGCAUGCCUAAAAGAGCAUAGGCCUCCAACUAGAGAUCAAAUCUCUCCUGACAACACUGAGCAAUGACUCAGCCAGGAGACCUUAGUUACAGCAGAGAAACAGGAAAUCGAUCAAAGCAAAUACUGCAUUGUUGGGAGGCAAACAAUGAGCCGCAUUUAAUCAUCCCCUUUGUUGUAACUCUGCGGAAGGUGAAUGGUGCUGUUAUGCUCACAUCUGCUGCUACAAGAAUUUGUUGGCACGUGGCUGUUAUCCCAAAUUGGAAGUCUGUUCUUACUCGUGGGGCAACAUAGGCUGCAGUGGGAAAACCUUCUGCCAGAAGCUGAUCUGUGAAUGUAACAAGGCUGCGACCGUUUGUUUCCAAAGGACCGGCCAUGUCUACCAUGGAAAAUAUCUCUGUUUCUCACAAAUGCUCUGCAAGGGACCCUCUCUCCCAUGCUAGGCCCACAGCUGCACUAGUCUCAGUGCUCUGCAGUGCCAGCCUCAUUUCUUUCCAGCGCUAGGUGCUGUUCCUUUUUCAGCAAGAUAUUACAAGUUCUAGCAGCAUUCCUCAGCAGGGUUCUGAGCCAACACAGCAGGGAAGUCAACGGGAGCCUUUCCAUUGACUUCAAUGGAUUUUGGACCAGGCCCUUAGGUACAAGCAAUACCUGCCCCUACUAGUAAAAAUAAAAGCCAGCUUCUAAAGGGCAACCAGUGUUUUUAG